rnacentral:lncRNA from 1 species
CCUCAAUUGUUCUUAAAGCUGGCGUGGAGUCGUUUCUUCUUCUGCUUCACUUUCUGUCGCCCGGACCUUCAUUGAUGAAGAGUCGAUAAGUUCGUGAAGAAAUUGUCAUAAGACAAAGUCUAAUUCUACGUGCCUAAGGUAUCUUUUAAUGUUUUAGGGUUCUAGCAUCCAUAUUAAUCUCGUUUCAUUCAAUCAAUAAAAUGUAACCAAUUAUCAUGUAACUAUCAUAUAGGUUCGAACCCAUUUGUUCGAACAUCAACAUGUACAUAAUCCAUAACCUCCCUCUACACCCGUCAUUUAGUCAAGUACUCCAUCAAUUAAGAACAAGCCAUAUAUUAUCACCCUGAAAAUUUAAUCAUUAUAAAUCAUGUUUUCUCAUACUUCGCACAUUUUCAUCACUUAAAUAAAUCAUUUAUAAACACAUGCUUAGCAAUCUAAUAUCUCAAUUAAAUCCCAAGCUCAUUUGAUAAAGUAAAUCAUAUACUUAAUCAUUCUAUAACACAAUUCCACAUUUUUUUUUAUCAUGUAAAUAAAUAAGAAAUUUCAUUAUUCAUUUAUAAAUAAUAAAACAUUUUAAAAUCCAUUGAUAUGAAAUAAAACAUUUUAACCAUUUAAAAAAAAUCCAUACUCGUAAGCUUUGAAAAUAAUUUUAUCAUAUAAUAAAUGGGGCUUAAUCCCAAAAUAUUUGCUUUAAAGUCCAUUAAUAAUUUAAAUAAUAGAAUGGACUUCAUUUAGAAUAAAUAAUCCCAACUUCCAAUAUUAAAAUUUAAAUCAAGAGAUUUAAAUUCACUAAAUAAUUUAGUGUAAAUUCAAACAUUUUUUUUUUUAAAAAAAUAAGGCCAAAAUUCGUAGGCCUUUAUUUCAAUUAACAGUUCAAAACUUAAUUAAAAUGGGCCCAUUACAUUUUAUUAAAUAAAAACCCAUCAUUUUUUUUACAAAGCAGGAAGGCCCAGCAACAUAAAAUAAAAUCGGCCCAUUUUAUUUAAAACUUUCGGCCCAAGCUAAUAAAUAAUCGGCCCAAUCAAAAUUAUUAAAAAAAAAUUUCGUCCUACUCUAACCUAACACACUAUAUCACAUACACAAACACAUACCACACGCACAUAACACAUAACACACCAGCACACACAUCACUCUCACUCUCCCUCUCGGCUCUCUCUCUCGUCUCUCUUACUCUCACUCGGCUGAGGGCGGCGCCGCCUCCGGCGCGCCGCCUCGCCGCGCGUCUCCCCUCUCUUUCAUUCCUCGGUCUCCUCUUCCCUCUCUCUCGCUGGUACAGUCGCCUCCGUCUCCUUUGCGUGCCACUGCCGCCUCCGCCGUGGCCAAGCACGGCGCCGCCUGGUCCUCCUCCUUCGGCUCCUGCUCGGAAAAGUGCGCGGGUAGCCUCCUCUCCAUCCCCUCGUCUGGAACAGGGCGUCUGCCCUCUCCGCCAUAGGGAGCGCACGGCCGCCGCCUCGCCGUGAAGGAGCUCGGCCGCCGUCCGUCGCCUCCUCCGUCGUUCGUCUGGCUGGAAUCGCGGUGGAGGCCGAGCCUUGCCUCGCCGGGAAGGUAGGCUCCAGAUCUGAGCUCCCCCUCUUUUCCUCUUUUCCGGCCGACCAGGAACAGCUCGGUGCUCCCGCCGCCGUGUCGCCGCUGCCGAUGCCGCCUCCGGAAAGAUAAGUUCUCUCUCCUUUAUCUCUCUUUCCCUCCCCUGUUCUCCCUUCUCUUCUCCCUUUUUUUUUAAACUAAAACUCUAAUAAUCUUUCUCCUCUCCCAAUUUCUGACAGAAAAAGGAAAAGGCGGCUCGGCGGCACCGUUGCCGUCGCCGGCCCUGAGCAGCCGCCGGCUGUCUCACUCCCUCCCCUGACUCGGACACACAAGGACGGGAGACUCAUCCCCCCAAAUUCCAGUCACACGCACAAAAGCAAAAUUAGGGUUUUAUUAAUCUGUUCUUUCAAUCAUUCAUUUCCUUUUUAUUAAAACUGAUUGUACAUGUAAUAGAUUAGAGAAUAUAGUAAAAUGUGUGCGUGUGUAUUAUUCUGUUGGUGGUUCUCUGAUGGUGAUAAGCUGAUGUAAUUGAAACAAUAAUAGUCUAAAAGAAGUGGUAAUGGAUGCGUGUGUUCGAUCUGUUUUCAUUUGAAUCAUAGUUUUGUAAUUUAACAAAUGAAUGUAUGGAGAAAGUAAAGUAGGAGGUAACCUUGAUAAUUUUCUGAACUCACAAAGUUGGAUCUGCGAAUCAACAAUUUAACAAUGAAUUUGGAUCUGAAUCUGCUUGAUUACUGGAAUUUGGAAACAUAAACAUAGUUAAAAUGGAGGGUUGUAUCCCCAAGGAAGAAGAAGAGAAUUGGUUGGAACACUUACCUCUGCACUUUAAACUUUGUUGGGUGUGUUGAAAAGAGAAGGAAAGAGCGGAUGAACUAAUAGAAGGAAACUUAGCUUUUAAAACUUGGC